rnacentral:rRNA from 1 species
CCCUUAGAUGUUCUGGGCUGCACGCGCGCUACACUGAAGCGUUCAACGAGUAUUCACCUUGCCCGGGAGGGUUGGGUAAUCUUUUGAAAACGCUUCGUGAUGGGGAUAGAUUAUUGCAAUUAUUAAUCUUCAACGAGGAAUUCCUAGUAAGCGCGAGUCAUCAGUUCGCGUUGAUUACGUCCCUGCCCUUUGUACACACCGCCCGUCGCUCCUACCGAUUGAAUGGUCCGGUGAAGCGCUCGGACCGCGGCCUCUUGACGGUUUUCCGUCGAUUGGCUGUGGGAAGUUCGUUAAACCUUAUCAUUUAGAGGAAGGAGAAGUCGUANCA